AAAGAGAUUUGGUCUCGUACCAGAUUGACACUUGUGUGCACCAUUGUCUGUUUUUGGUAGUUCGAGUGCCCUCCUGGUUUAUUCCGGGAGCGCCUACCCUCGCUGUGUCCUCCGGGGUGCUGCUUGGGUUGGUCUACCGUUUUUUUGACAAACAUUUUGUAUCCUGUUUUUUCUUUGUCUGAACUAAGAUUUAAUCUUGAUUGAUUAAUGAUUUUAUAA
rnacentral:misc_RNA from 1 species